AUAGUCCUACGGGGCGCAGCAGUAGGGAAUCUUCCACAAUGGACGAAGGUCUGAUGGAGCAACGCCGCGUGAGUGAAGAAGGGUUUCGGCUCGUAAAGCUCUGUUGGUAGUGAAGAAAGAUAGAGGUAGUAACUGGCCUUUAUUUGACGGUAAUUACUUAGAAAGUCACGGCUAACUACGUGCCAGCAGCCGCGGUAAUACGUAGGGUGCAAGCGUUAUCCGGAUUUAUUGGGCGUAAAGGGCUCGUAGGCGGUU
rnacentral:rRNA from 1 species